AACAGACUGUGGUGGAGAGGUUGGCCUGGGGUAAGAAGGAUUCUCCCGCCUUUGAGUCACUAAGGGGAUCACAGACCUCCGGACAUAUAGACUUAAUGCAAGCUCUCAGUCAUUGCUCCAGCACCAUGCCUACCUGCUGCCAUGCUUCCAUCAAGAUGAUCAUGGGGCAGGUGGGCAGAAGUCAACCAGAGGCCCACACAGGUGGCCAGGUGCCACUUUGAGUGAUUAUGUGAAGGGAGAGAUGGGAGAGAAAGAGAAGAAGAGCACUUUGUGCACUGUGAAGAGAGACAGAGCUGGAGAUGCAAGAUAAAGGACGGUGAGAUAUCGCACAAUGUGAGUGACCUGUGCUGCCACUGAAGGCCAUGUGUUUGUCUGUGACCCUACUGCAGCAGGAGUCUGUGUCAAAAUGUCUGUGGCCCAAGUUGCCACCAAUGACCAUUAGGAUGUCCAUUGUCCGGGAUGUCGCCUGGAACCCUGUUGAUGUCUGAAGGCUUAGCUGAGCCUGCUCUGCCCCUCACCUGCUGCUGUAGUCCAAGGGUGGAAGAGCUGGCCUUGAAGGUGUGAGCAUGGAGAGCUGUCCUCCUCCAGCUGUGGUACUCAGGAGAGCUGGCCUCACACCUUGCCUGGACAUUGCAGGAGAGCUGGCCCUGGUGGCUUGGGCAUGGGAGAGCUGGUAGUUGACCAACACAGCUAACAUGCAGGCCCAGCUCCAGGGCACUGACUUGGCCCAUCCCAGCAUCUACCUCAUUUGUGAGCUACUGGAGUAUAUGAACCAAAGCUGCAGGAUCUCCACAACACAGGGAACAACAGGAUAUCCAAGAGGAGUCCUGUUGAGGAUCCAGUAUUUACAGUGUAGCAGAAGCCAGAGGCUUCAAAGCAGACUAGUGACUCACUGCGAUGGACAUUUGCAAGCAAAGCUGUGUGGGCAAACGGGUACACAGUGUGACACACUGUGACACACCACAGCUUCCACAGUGAG
rnacentral:lncRNA from 1 species